rnacentral:lncRNA from 1 species
AAAAAAACUAAUAAACUCAAUAACCACUUGUGGCUCACUAUAAUCAAAACAUCAAAAAGAAGGCGCAAUAGUGUUAGGUAGCGAACUAACACAUAAUCUAAAAAUUAGGGGUAAAUAGAUUUAAUUAUCUAUAGCUUUAAGCCACUAACAUCUAGAGAGUGAAAAUUGAAAUAGGUACACCUUAGAGAUGACAACAACAGUAACAAAACUAUAGAAAUUCAUAUAUACAUAUAUAUGUUGCAUUCAAACAUAUCUAGAAAAUGUGAUGGAAAUGUCCCGAAGUAUAAUGGCAGGAGAAGACUAAACAAACCUCUCUCAGUACGUCCAAAUCUUCUGAUUGAUGCUUUCUUUCAUAUCCUGGUGGUGGAAAUGGAAAGCAGCGAGACAUUGCACACAAUCCUACAACAAGCAAAAUAAUUACUAUUGUGAAAACAAUAUGAAUGAAUUAUUUUCUCACAAUAGUAUUGUUCCAAUAUGGGAAUGGAACAAUAAUUAUGCUCCUUUCUAUGCACCAUGACCCCACAUUGAGUUCAAGCUUCAAUACUAUUAUCUUCUCUCUACUGGCAAGCCCCAAAAACCCACUUCUUUUAAUUCAUAUUUCACACCACAUGCAUACCACAAUACCACUGUCUUAUAUACACCUCAAUCUUAGCUCCAAUAUGCAAUUGCAGUGUCAAAGAACUGAUCAAACUCAACAGCAAUUUGAAAGACAAAAUAAGUAGCAAUAAAAUUAACACUAGUUUAACCAAUCACCAGAUAUGAGAAACUUAAAUUGCAGCUAAACCAUCCCCAGAAACUAUGUUUAUCCUAAAGGUUUCUUGACAAAGGAAAAGGAAUCACUAAUAAUUGAUUGGAUCAGUCUAACAAGCCAAUGACACUCAAUAAUCACUAUCUUCAACUUGUCCACUUUAUCACCAAAAUUUAACCCCAAAUCAUCCCCAAAUUCAAUCAAACUGCAACAAAAUGGUGGAAACCCUAAAUCGCACUUCUUCAACACAAAAUUACCAUAUUUCCUCUCUUUCUUUUUCUCUUUCCUACCUCGAUCACUGCCUUAAAAUUUAUAUAAACAGUCCUCUUCCAUUCCCUUUAGAAAACAACUAUUCAUGCAAUUGCAAUGCUGGAAGUCAAAGCGGAUUUGAAGCUUGGUUCAUCAGAAGAUAAAAGGCAAAUCCCUUUAAUUUUGCAAUCUUGAGAGUAGUGCUCUCUCUGGAAAAGUCCUUACAUUUCGGAAUGUCAAUUGAAAUCCUAGAUAAAAUCCACCAUCAGCACAACAAUUUCUCAGUACCGAAAACCCCAAAUUCAAAACAUACCCAGAAAAAGGGAGGGAAUGAAAAUCCGCCCCGAUUAGAAGUAGCUAAUUCGGCGGAAUAAAAUAGCGGUUUAGCAACUUUUUAGCAAAACUCCAGAAAAAAAAAUUUCCUUUUGUAAUCAAAUCAAUGUCCAAUGCUCAGGAAAUCAGAGUAAAGACAAAUCAAUAAUUUAAGCUUGGUCGAAUUAAAUUAAGUUAAAAACUAAAAGACAUUAAAUUUAUCUUAUUACCUUGCCCGCUACAAAUUGGAGUGUAUUUGUAGGAAGGGGCAAGAUCUCAGUUUUUUCUUGACAAUAAUAUCAACUAAAUCAUAAAAUCCUCGAACCCACUUUUUUCUGGAUAGAAAUAUGUCUAUAAACACAUAUAAUCGGUGUUUGCACGUAUAAAUCUUUGCUGUUUUCUCUUUAAUGCGCGUAUAUAGGGUGAUAGAGAGAGGCCGGACGGUUUAUUUGGAGAAAUUGGUCAGGGAAACAGCAUAAAAUGAGACGGGGUGAGAGUAGGGAGAAGGCCUACGCUCCUAGUGGCGUCCGUUUGAGGCUCUCUGAACAUACAUUUGGCUAUUUU